rnacentral:rRNA from 1 species
GAUGAACGCUGGCGGCAUGCCUAAUACAUGCAAGUCGAACGAAUUUACCUUUUAGGUAAGUUAGUGGCGAACGGGUGAGUAACACGUAGAUAACCAACCCUUAAGACGAGGAUAACCCGGGGAAACCUGGACUAAUACUGGAUAGGAGUUAUUUUCAAUAAGAAGAUAAUUUUAAAGGCGCUUCAAAGCGGCGCUUAAGGAUGGGACUGCGUCGCAUUAGCUAGUUGGUGGGGUAACGGCCUACCAAGGCGACGAUGCGUAGCUGAGCUGAGAGGCUGAACAGCCACACUGGGACUGAGACACGGCCCAGACUCCUACGGGAGGCAGCAGUAGGGAAUUUUCGGCAAUGGACGAAAGUCUGACCGAGCAAUGCCGCGUGAACGAAGAAGGUCUUCGGGUUGUAAAGCCCUGUCGAGGGGGACGAAGUUCUGACGGUACCCCUCAAGAAAGCACCGGCUAACUCCGGUG